rnacentral:rRNA from 1 species
UCGAGAAUUUUUCACAAUGGGGGAAACCCUGAUGGAGCGACGCCGCGUGGGGGAUGAAUGGCUUCGGCCCGUAAACCCCUGUCAUUUGCGAACAAAUUGGUUCAAUUAACACCUGAACCAUUGAUAGUAGCGGAAGAGGAAGGGACGGCUAACUCUGUGCCAGCAGCCGCGGUAAUACAGAGGUCCCAAGCGUUGUUCGGAUUCACUGGGCGUAAAGGGUGCGUAGGCGGUCGGGUAAGUCUGAUGUGAAAGCUCUGGGCUUAACCCAGAAAUGGCAUUGGAUACUAUUCGGCUUGAGAGUUGGAGGGGGGACUGGAAUUCUUGGUGUAGCAGUGAAAUGCGUAGAUAUCAAGAGGAACACCAGUGGCGAAGGCGAGUCCCUGGACAACUUCUGACGCUGAGGCACGAAAGCUAGGGGAGCAAACAGGAUUAGAUACCCCUGUAGUCC